rnacentral:tRNA from 1 species
UUAAUUGAAACCAAAAAGAGGUAUAUCACUGUUAAUGAUAAAAUUGGAGUAAAUCCCCAAUUAAA